rnacentral:rRNA from 1 species
CCUACGGGUGGCAGCAGUGGGGAAUAUUGCACAAUGGGGGAAACCCUGAUGCAGCGACGCCGCGUGAGUGAAGAAGUAAUUCGGUAUGUAAAGCUCUAUCAGCAGGGAAGAAAAUGACGGUACCUGAGUAAGAAGCCCCGGCGAACUACGUGCCAGCAGCCGCGGUAAUACGUAGGGGGCAAGCGUUAUCCGGAUUUACUGGGUGUAAAGGGAGCGUAGACGGCAGUGCAAGUCUGGAGUGAAAGGCGGGGGCUCAACCCCCGGACUGCACUGGAAACUGUACGGCUGGAGUGCAGGAGAGGUAAGUGGAAUGCGUGGUGUAGCGGUGAAAUGCGUAGAUAUUAGGAGGAACACCAGUGGCGAAGGCGGCUUACUGGACUGUAACUGACGUUGAGGCUCGAAAGCGUGGGGAGCAAACAGGAUUAGAUACCCUAGUAGUC